CACAUUAACUGUCACACACUUUUCCUAUUCAUUACUCUAGUGGUCAUAUGUACAAUUUAGUGCACACACCACAAAUGGCCAUACUUGUUUUUGUGUACAAUAUUUUGUACACUUUUUGUCUUGUAUUCCACUAUUAUUGUGCUCAAAAACCUGACACGGAAGUGUUGAUUUUAUAUAGGAACAUGAAAGUGUACAAAAAAAUAUACACAUGACGUUUAAUGUGUUAAGUGUAGUCAAAGACGAUGUUUUUGCAUGCUUAGAUUAGAUAUAGCAUACAGCAUUUAAGGAGUAUCCUGUGGUAACACCAACAUUGAUUUGAACAGCCACUAUUCUAGGUGAGAAGUUGAGAAGGUAGGAUACAUAAGGUUAUUUCAUUUAUAUCUGUAAGCAACAAUAAACCAUUGCUGAGGAAAGACGAUUGAGCGCAGUUCAGUAAUACAUAAUUUCAAAUACCGCAAUAAAGUACCAUUGUAAAAAAAUUAAAAAUUAAACAAAGUUGUCCGAUGAUUUUUGAAAUUUUACCAUGUCUAGACAUAAAAACCAAUAUAAGUAUUAUUACAAAGUUUCAAGUCCCUACAUGUAUAAAAUAACCGAAUUACAGAAAAAAAACUCCCAAAAAUUAAAAUUCCUUAAAUCUCAAAAGUAGAACAAAAAAUUUUGAUAAUGAUACUGUAAGAAAGUAAACCAAAAAGUUAACAAAAAAGGUAUCUUGUGAUUUUUCGGUUAAAUCAUUUUUCCUGGUAGAAAACGUCAGUGAUUUUAUAAAAUAAUAAAAUCGUGAAAUUGUACGUUUUCCUGCGUUUUUCCCACUUAAGUGUUCUUGUUUAAAAAAAUGGCGUCGUAUAUCAAAAAAUAAUGAACUUUCUAAAGUACCAUCUAGACAACUUGAGCUUUCAGAAAAGUUGCAGUUCGUAAAGAUCGGAGCUAGUUUACUAAGAAAAAACGUGUCCACAGACUAGAACAAAAACAAAUAAAUAGCAUUGUAAAACCAAUAGCUCACUCGCUACGCUUGGAAUCUAAAAUAUUUAUUAUUUUAAAUUAUUAGAUGAUUCAAUGCAUCUUCAGAUUACGUGUGCUCAAUAAUCGAACUAUUCGUACUUCACACUUUACCAUCUUCCAGCCAAGAGCGCGUGAUUGACAACCACUGCAGAUCUUAAACCGUGGUGAUAAUUACACAUGAACGUUAUUUUGCUUGUAUGUGUAUUUUGUCCUAGAAAGACUACUCACAUUAUAAUCUUAUGGAAAAAUAAUUGAUGACAGGUGAUUAACAUAUUUAAAG